rnacentral:rRNA from 1 species
GAUGAACGCUGGCGGCGUGCCUAAUACAUGCAAGUCGAGCGAAGCGGGGACGGGUGAGUAACACGUGGAUAACCUCCUAUAAGACUGGGAUAACUUCGGGAAACCGGAGAUAAACCGGUUACUUAUAGAAGGAGCCGCGCUGCAUUAGGUAGUGGGUAAGGUAACUGCUUACCAAGGCAACGAUGAAUAGACGACCUGGGAGGGUGUUCGUCCACACUGGAACUGGGCCACGGUCCAGACUCCUACGGGAGGCAGCAGUAGGGAAUCUGCCGCAAUGGGCGAAAGCCUGACAUAGCAACGCCGCGUGAGUGAUGAAGGUCGUCGGAUCGUAAAACUCUGUUAGUAGGGAAGCGGUACCUAAUCAGAAAGCCACGGCUAACUACGUGCCAGCAGCCGCGGUAAUAC